rnacentral:pre_miRNA from 1 species
AAUAUACUCCCUCCGUUCCAAAUUACUCGUCGCAGAAACGGAUGUAUCUAGAACUAAAAUACAUCUAGAUACAUCCAUACUUGCGACAAGUAAUUCGGAACGGAGGGAGUACAAG